GCCUAUGUUGAUUAAAUGGUAAAUCACCCACAGAGAUUCAGCGAAGUCCAUGACUCGAAUGGGAGAUGGAGGUUCGAAUCCUCCCGGGGGCA